GGUUGGCGCAAUGGUAGCGCGUGUCCCUCCUAAGGACAAGGCUGCGGGUUCGAGGUUAGUAGCGUUCACGCAAGAACA
rnacentral:tRNA from 1 species